GAGUUUGAUCAUGGCUCAGAUUGAACGCUGGCGGCAUGCCUUACACAUGCAAGUCGAACGGCAGCACGGGAGCAAUCCUGGUGGCGAGUGGCGAACGGGUGAGUAAUAUAUCGGAACGUGCCCAGUCGUGGGGGAUAACGUAGCGAAAGCUACGCUAAUACCGCAUACGAUCUACGGAUGAAAGCGGGGGACUCGCAAGAGCCUCGCGCGAUUGGAGCGGCCGAUAUCAGAUUAGGUUGUUGGUGAGGUAAAAGCUCACCAAGCCUGCGAUCUGUAGCUGGUCUGAGAGGACGACCAGCCACACUGGAACUGAGACACGGUCCAGACUCCUACGGGAGGCAGCAGUGGGGAAUUUUGGACAAUGGACGCAAGUCUGAUCCAGCAAUGCCGCGUGCAGGACUAAGGCCUUCGGGUUGUAAACUGCUUUUGUACGGAACGAAACGGUCUUCUUUAAUACAGAGGGCUAAUGACGGUACCGUAAGAAUAAGCACCGGCUAAC
rnacentral:rRNA from 1 species